rnacentral:rRNA from 1 species
AGGGUGUAAACGCUGCAGACUUGGUGUUGGAGGCCCUUUGGGGGCAUUCAGUGCCGGAGAGAAGUUGUUAAGUCUGCUACUUGGGGAGUACGUCCGCAAGGAUGAAACUUAAAGGAAUUGGCGGGGGAGCACCGCAACGGGAGGAGCGUGCGGUUUAAUUGGAUUCAACGCCGGAAAUCUUACCGGGACCGACAGCAACAUGAAGGCCAAGCUGAAGACUUUGCCGGAUUAGCUGAGAGGUGGUGCAUGGCGUAGUCGUGU